CGCUAGUCAGGACUUUGAGUCCUGAGGACCUGGUUUCCGAGAACAGCCUCAGUAGGAACGCACAGAAAGUGGCCGCACUAACCAGGGCCUAGCAAAAGCCCAGUGAUUGAAUUCCGGACUGUGCUGGGAGCUUGGGACCCUACUGCACAUAGCAGGGCUGAGUCUUUCUGCUGCUCCUCUCCAUCCUCCGAACAUUCAACCAGCGGGCUCGAUUACAAGGACCGCAGGACCUCAGCAGUGAACCCGGCUUGGGCAAACGGACGCCUCGGUGUGGAGGGAAAGUGGCUCUCUGGCACGGCGGCUUCCGCCCGCGGCUGCUGUCACUGUGUCUGUCUGCAGGAGCCGAGCCGGGCCACGCUGAUCUAAGUUGCCUGAGUCGUCCAUUCCUGAAGAGAGGAGGCAGAGCCAACCUCUUGUUCCCGCAGAACUGAUUUGAUAUCGAUUUGAAUAAAGGCAUCUGCUGCCAUUUUAUUAAGCGCCCUAUUUAAUCUCCAUGUCCCUGCUUCCACUUUCUCUUAAUAUCAACUGUCCUUGUCCCCUUUCAAAGUCAGAGUGACUCGGAAUCGCUUCAGGACUCUAUUCAGUGUGGCCUCUCAGAUGUGAGUUAGAACCUGAACCUACACCAGAAUUUCCUCCUUUUCUUUCUGCAGUUAUUUUUUUCUCCACAAUUUUCUUUUUGAGUAUUUUAAAUACUUAAAAAUGUACGUCAAUCAAAAGAAACUACCGAAAAAAACCCCACAAAACUACCAAGUGUCGCAAAUGUUUUGUGUACAAUACCCUUGCAGAAUGUGAGCAAAAUGUCUUUAGAGUGCGGCUUUCAGCUUUCAAACUGAGACAUGCUCAAAUGAGAGGGGGAAAAAUCCCCACGGCCCAGAGAUGCGGACCAACCCAUCUCCGGAGCGGAAGGAAGGGUGGGGCACAGUGGCGCGCCGGCCUUAGAGACGGGAUGUGAAUGAGCACUUCGAUGCACACCUCACUUUAGCUACGGGAAAAUUACCAGGCAG
rnacentral:lncRNA from 1 species